rnacentral:rRNA from 1 species
CCCUUAGAUGUUCUGGGCCGCACACGCGCUACACUGAAGGAGGCAGCGUGUACUCCUGGAUCGAAAGAUUUGGGUAACCCGCGAAUCUCCUUCGUGCUAGGGAUUGAGGUUUGCAAUUAUCCUUCAUGAACGAGGAAUUCCCAGUAAGUGCAAGUCAUAAGCUUGCGCUGACUACGUCCCUGCCCUUUGUACACACCGCCCGUCGCUACUACCGAUUGGAUGGUCCGGUGAAGCCUCGGGAUUGUGGUUCUUGCCGCUUUAUUGUGGCGUGACCGCGAGAACUUGUCUAAACCUUAUCAUCUAGAGGAAGGUGAANUCGUANCA